rnacentral:lncRNA from 1 species
CAGGCACAGGGCAGCUCCUCAAUUCCUGCCCAGGCAGCCACGGCCUCUUGGUCUCCCGUGGCAUGGAACAGCUUCUCCUUCAGCAAAGAAUGAAAGAUUUCUGUGUCCUUCCUGCCAGGAUAUCGGGAUUUCCAAGGGGGUUUAAUGGGCUGUGACGUUCCCGUUCUGAUCCAGGUGAUCGGAGAGUUUAAUCUGCACUUCACUGUGGGAAUUUCUCCUCGGAGCAGACACCUCUCACCAAAAGUUUAUUUUUCACAGCUUCUCCUUGGGAUUUGUGGCACCUUCAGGUCUCCAGAAAAGACCAAGAAAGAGACUCAAAAUCAAGGAACCUUCAGAUCAUGGAAAGAUUUUCUGGAUUCUCAUUAACAGAAUCACAGAAUGAUGAGGUUGGAAGAGACCUCUGAGAUCAUCAAGCCCAAGCCAUGCCCUACCACCUCACUAGACCAUAGCACCGAGUGCCAUGCCCAGUCUUUUUUUAAACACAUCCACCACCUCCCUGGGAAGACAAUUCCCAUGCUUUAUUAUUCUUUUGGUGGAAUUUUUUUUCCUAAUAUCCAACCUACACCUUCCCUGCUGUAGUCUGAGACUGUGUCCUCUCAAGCCAACUGUUAAUGAAACACAGGGAAGAAAUGUCGCUAUUGGACACUAAAUGAGUACAUAGAAGCUUGGUAAGUACAAAAGAGAAAAAAGAGAAAGUUUUAUUUGAACAUCUGGUAUUUAUAGAAUUCCAAGAGUGGCAGUGGAUUGGAGGAUGGAAUUGCCACCUCUCCAACCACACUGGUCAAACCAGCAGUCCAUCAAUUCUCAACUCCCACAAAGAAGGAUGUAAAACAAUCAUUAUUUACAUGAACAGUAUGAGAACUCCAGAAAUAUGUAAACAUCAGAAAGCUAAAGAAGUUUUAUGAGAACUUUAAAACUUCCAAAAUAACUAUAAAAGAAAACUGAACACUUUAAAAAUCAGGGCAACAAAGACAGAAUUCCAUCAUGCUCUCGGUGCUUAUUCCAGAAUCUUGGAAGCUGCUUUUGCUCACCUGUUCCCUGCGUUGGCACCUUUGAGUUUCAGGAUUGCUGACACCAAUGUUUUCCUGAAAUCCUGGCCUUUCCCAAGGGACAUCAAUUGGAGUUUGCCCUGACAGCCAAAUAUUUUAGUUUAUGGUUUAUCCUGCCUAACUUCUGGAUUCAAAUUUUGAUUUAAAGUCUUUAUCCCUAAAAAGAGCUGGGGAAAGUGGCUGAUUCCCUGUGGUGAACCCCACACCGGAUGCUGGACUUUGGAAUAACAGGCAGAAGGAACAGGUCUAGGCUGGAGGAUAGCAGGGAAUCCUAAAAUCCCAGGAUGGAUUGGAAAGGGUCUUAAUUCCAAUUCCAA